AUGGCUGUCAUCUCUUGUAUUGACUCGCAGGUUGUGCUCACACAAUCUGAACAGUCAGUAGUUGUGACUCCAGGUGGAUCACAUAAACUGACCUGUGCCUGCAGUGGAUUUACUGUUCAGAGCACUAACAUGUACUGGAUCCAGAUUAAUUGUCAAACCUUCACUCAGUCUCAAGCUGUGGUUAAAAGACCUGAUGAAUCUUUUAAACUGAUCUGCACCGCCUCUGGAUUUACAUUCAGCAGCUACUAUGUAGCUGUGGUUAGACAGGCUCCUGGUAAAGGACUGGAGUGGAUUGCAUACAUUGGUACAUCCAGCUCUCCAAUCUACUAUUCCCAGUCAGUUCAGGGAAGAUUUAUAGUGUCCAGAGACGACUCCAGCAGUCAACUGUAUUUACAGAUGAACAGUCUGAAGACUGAAGACACAGCUGUGUAUUACUGUGCCAGAGAUUCACUGUGA